AUACGUAGGGGGCUAGCGUUGUCCGGAAUUACUGGGCGUAAAGGGUUCGCAGGCGGAAAUACAAGUCAGGUGUAAAAGGCGGAGGCUUAACCUCCGUAAGCAUUUGAAACUGUAUUUCUUGAGAUAUGGAGAGGCAAGUGGAAUUCCUAGUGUAGCGGUGAAAUGCGUAGAUAUUAGGAGGAAUACCAGUGGCGAAGGCGACUUGCUGGACAUAUACUGACGCUGAGGAACGAAAGCAUGGGUAGCAAACAGGAUUAGAUACCCUGGUAGUCCAUGCUGUAAACGAUGAGUGCUAGGUGUCGGGGGUGACCUCGGUGCCGUAGUUAACACAAUAAGCACUCCGCCUGGGGAGUACGUGCGCAAGCAUGAAACUCAAAUGAAUUGACGGG
rnacentral:rRNA from 1 species